rfam:Gorilla gorilla gorilla genomic chromosome, chr2B, whole genome shotgun sequence
GCUGGGCGUGGUGGCGCAUGCUUGUAAUCCCAGCUAUUCGGGAGGCUGAGGCAGGAGAAUCGCUUGAACCUGGGAGGCAGAGGUUUCAGUGAGCCGAGAUAGGGCCACUGCACUUCAGCCUGGGUGACAGAGCGAGAUCGUGUCUCAA